GCUGACCGGUCUAUAGUUCCCCGGAUUCUCCUUCUUCCUCUUUUUAAAGAUGGGCACUUGUGAGUGAUGACUGACUUGCACAAAGUCACACAUGAUGUCUGUGAUAGAAGAUGGAAUUGAACCCAAGUCUCCUGACCAACCUGAUUGCCUGCUAUGUAAAUUGAGCCUGGAUAGUCAUGAAAAGGUUUUCAGGCAAAUGUGUAUGUACCACACAUCAUUCUGCAUCCUUGCUUCUGCAGUUUCUUUGCAAACUGUGAUCAAUGCCUCAACACACUUCAAAGUCAAGUGAUGUCUUCUGCCAGGAUCAGAGUGACAGCUCCUUAGAACAGAACUCCAGCCAUGGCAAUGAAAGAACAGAAAGCUCUCUCAGCAGGCCUCUGAUCAGCAGCAAGACAUUGCAAGAAAAAAGAUGGAACUCAUAUGUUCACAGGAGAGAAUAUCGUACAGAAAAUGAAAGCAAAAAGUGAAUUUAGUGCACACAAAUUGGUAGAACAGAAGCAAAUUAUCCAUAAUAUAGGUACAUUAAUGAGAAUGGCAAUACAAACCUCCCCAUACUGCCCUGCCAAUGUACCUCUUGCUAUGGAAGGGCCACAUCUGUAGUGGAGUUCACAGAACAGGCAGAUUUUAAGCUAUUUACACUCCCUGCUGACCAAGGCUGGUUUUGAACUAGUGAUGUGUAAGUAAAGGCUCUGCCCAAUUACCAAAUCUCAGUAUUGUCAACUCUCAUGACUGUAUCAUAA